UACGGGGGGAGCAAGCGUUGUUCGGAUUUACUGGGCGUAAAGGGCGCGUAGGCGGCGUGACAAGUCACUUGUGAAAUCUCCGGGCUUAACUCGGAACGGUCAAGUGAUACUGUCGUGCUAGAGUACAGAAGGGGCAACUGGAAUUCUCGGUGUAGCGGUGAAAUGCGUAGAUAUCGAGAGGAACACCUGCGGCGAAGGCGGGUCGUCUGGGCUGAUACUGACGCUGAGGCGCGAAAGCCAGGGGAGCGAACGGG
rnacentral:rRNA from 1 species